rnacentral:snRNA from 1 species
AAUACUUUCCAGCCUUUUGGCUAAAAUUAAAUAUAGUAUCUAUUCUUAUUAAUUUAAUAUCUGAUAAGUCCUCUCCCCAAGGGCAAUAUUUUAAAUGGAUAUUUGGAGCAGGAAGAUGGAAUAGGAACUUACUCCAUUCACUCUACACGUUGACCUAAAAUGAGGGACCUCCAGGAGCUAUGCCCCCCCC